rnacentral:rRNA from 1 species
CACUACAGCCAUGCCACCUUGAACAAGCCCGAUCCCGUCUGAUCUCGGAAGCUAAGCAGGGUUGGGCCUGGUUAGAACUUGGAUGGGAGACCACCUAGGAAGACCAGGUGCUGUAGGUG